GUAGGUGAACCUGCGGAAGGAUCAUUACCGAGUUAGGGUCCUCUGGGCUCGACCUCCAACCCUUUGUCUACCUUACUUUACGUUGCUUCGGCGGGUCCGUCCUGAAAAGGACCGCCGGAGGGUGGAUUUACCCUCUGGCCCGCGCCUGCCGGUGGCCAACAAUCAAACUCUUGUUAAAAACGUGUCGUCUGAAGUAUUAAACAAAAUAACUAAAAACUUUCAACAACGGAUCUCUUGGUUCUG
rnacentral:misc_RNA from 1 species